rnacentral:sRNA from 1 species
UGUUAAAUGCGUUGGCAAUGUCAAGAGA